rnacentral:lncRNA from 1 species
UGAAAUGCUGCUAUGGUGAAGCUUUGGCUAUUUGAAAUGUGUAUUAUUUGAUGUGCUGUUACAUCUAUACAGCUAGCACUGUAAAAAUUUUAUGUUACAACUAGGGAUUGUUUUAAACUUUUUAUUUUAAAUCAGCUAUUAGCCCAGGGAAAAGUAGUAAAAACAGCACAAAGAGUUCCCACAUACCCUUUAAUCUUUUGCUCUUGAUGUUACUAUUUCAGUAACCAUAGUCAGUUAUUAAAAUCUGAACAUUAACAUCAGUACAAUACCAUUAACGGGAUUGCAGACCCUGUUAAAAUGUCACCACCAGCUUUUCCCCAUUAAUGUAGUAGGAGUCUUCUUAAAAUGUAGAAUGGAGUAAUUUAUACUUAAAGCUAUUUAAGACUGAUCAGUUUGCUAUUAUUUACCUUUAAAAAAAUGUAAUGAUAGACUUUUGGCAAGUUCCUUAAUAUACCUGAUUUGAGCACAAUGCUCUUUCUUAGUUUCUUUUCCUUCUAUUCUUUUCAUGCUCUGAGUUGUCUCUUAAUUGGCAACGUGUGCAAAAAGGAAUAUCAUUACUAUUUUAGGAAAUCAUUAAAUGUCACUGAUGUUAAAUUUUGUCUAUAGACCCAUUUCAGCGACCUUUUCUGUAACGUGAAAAGGUCUGGGUUCAUAAAAGAGUCUGUGGAUGCAGAAUCAAGGUUUGGUGUUCUGACCUGUAAUCCCAUGAAAACAACACAACCCAUUCAUCACCAUUACUGAUAACCAUUAUUUACAUGGUAAAGAGUAGGAAGGAAGAACUGCAUGUAAAUAUUCCAGGUUAAAAUAAGCCCGAGAGGACCAUUGAGAGAAUCAUACACUUUUCAACAGAAAUAGGCAUUAUUCACAAAAAACCCUUCUUGCUUCUUAACAUGUCCAGCCCGUUAUGUUGUGAGAUUUGCAUUUCUGUUUGAUCUUGUACUGCAGCAUGAGUUACAUCUCUCUUCCUGUGUCAGCCGCUAUUAUAGAUUGUCUACUCAUUGAGGGCAGGUCCAUUUCUUAUUAAUCUUCCUAGUCUUCCGCUUGCUAUCUGACACUCUUACGAGUCCAAUUAAUGACUCUUUAGGGAGCACUGUCCUGUGGAGGAAAAGCAAAAGGCAAAGGGGUGAGCCUGUGAUCUUCUGGCCUGUUUGCUAGGUCUUUUCACCUGAAGAAGAUAACCAGUGUCUCUUCAUUAUCACCUCAACUGUCAUGUGUUUGUGAAAUGAAAAUUAGGAUUACAUAUAGCUUGGCUUACCUAUGUGCCUACCUAAUCCUUGUUUAUCUGUUUACUCAUAAUGAAUGCUUAUAAUAAAUGUCCUCUGCCAAAGGAGAUAUACACAGAGAUGAUUUCUGAAAUAAAUCUUUCAAACAGUUAUGAAUAAGUGCAUGAAAGUAAUUACUCCAGUAGCCUUAUCUAGACAUUAAUAGCUUUAUAACAUGAUUUUGAGAGAACUGUCAUUUUGAGCUAGCGAGGAUUUUGUUAGAUUUGAAUUUUAAUGUUUUCUACUCCUUGAUCUUCAGAUAAAUAGUGGAAACCUUGCCUCUUUUAUUUAAUUCUUUUCAACCCAAUGUAUGGUCAUCUUAAUUCAGCAAAAAUAUCAAAAGAAACUAAGCUAACAUCUAGUGGGAUCAAACAUGUAGACUACAUUUCAUUUUAAAGACUUUUCAUCAUCUGAUUCUUUGUAUCUACCCAGAAAAGGCUUAGAAAUAUUUAGAAGCCAGAGUGGGCAGAAUUUGAGAUUGACUUAACCAAACACUAACCCUGUAAAAUCAACUUGUCCCUGAGUCUUUGAAAAAUCUCGGGUUUUGACAGAGCUAAAAUAACAAGGCACAGUAAGAAUAUUAAAGAGCUUUCAAAACAAAUGCAUUUGGUGCAUAAUAAGAAGUUUGAACAGACCAGUUAUUAUAAUUCUUUGCAGAUGCCAUGGUCUUUGAAUUAUGCAUUGCUGUAUAUGGUAAUAUAAUAUUUUGAGAAUUAUUAAGGAUAUAUGAAUUAGAUAUCAUUAUUGAGAGCUUGGAAGUUAUAUUACUAAAAUAUCAUUUCAUUUUUUGUUAUGUAAAUAUAAGAUUUCUUCUGCUUGUUUUUUCCUUCCAAGUCCUCCCUUAUACAUCUUCCCACUAUCCUUCAAAUGUAUGGCUGCUAUAAAAGAGGCCAUAAAUAUAAAAAUAUAUAUAUAAAAUAUAAAACAUAUUUUAUAAAAG